ACUCCAUGAGAAUUAUAUUGCAGCUUUUUUUAUUGACAUUAACGAGGUUUAGUGAAGAAGCGAUAUAUACAGUUGUCUUUUAACUUUUAAUUUACUGGAUCAAGGUUCAGCUUUUUGUUCAAGAUGCCACAGAUUUCAUCUUAUUUGUUCUAUUUGUGCGUGAUGUGACCGAUUACGUCCACAAGCCGGCUUCCCAGUUGAUCAGCAAUUAACAACUGUUGAGAUUGUCUUUCUAGGAACUGGUUCAACUUACUAUUAGGUUGUGGACUUGUAGUGAAAGAACACUGCCUAGCUGAAACCAAGGAUUUGCUGCAGGAAACUUAUACAGCAACCCAUGCUAGAUGGUUGAGUACGUCAAGUUUCUGCAAGGACAUCGUAUUCAGAUUAAUCAUGCGUAAGAAUCUUAGUUGAGAUGUGUAGUGAAGGAACUGAGGGGGCAUGGAGACGUUGUAGAGGAUAUAUGAAUUUGUGCAAUCUCCAACUUUUUACUCAUGCCUACAACCUCGACCCAUUUUCAAGUACGAGGAACAACGGACAUGCUAUACAACCAAACAUUGUAUUUGCUUCAAAGCCUAUCAAAGAUGCCUAACAAACGAUAUUUAUCAUCAGUUGUAUUGUUACCAUUAAUCUUGAAUUCUAUAGUUAUGUUUGGAUUUUUGUUAUAUCUUUAGUAACUUUAUGUUUUUAUGAAGGUUUUAUUUUCAUUAA